rnacentral:tRNA from 1 species
CAAGACGUAGCUAUAAUCAUCAAAGCACUCAGCUUACACCUGAGAGAUAUCUACUAGACUAGAUCGUCUUGA